rnacentral:rRNA from 1 species
GUGGGGAAUAUUGCACAAUGGGCGAAAGCCUGAUGCAGCAACGCCGCGUGAGGGAAGACGGUUUUCGGAUUGUAAACCUCUGUUUUCGGUGACGAACAAAUGACGGUAACCGAGUAGGAAGCCACGGCUAACUACGUGCCAGCAGCCGCGGUAAUACGUAGGUGGCAAGCGUUAUCCGGAAUUACUGGGUGUAAAGGGAGCGCAGGCGGGAUAGCAAGUCAGCUGUGAAAACUAUGGGCUCAACCCAUAAACUGCAGUUGAAACUGUUAUUCUUGAGUGGAGUAGAGGCAAGCGGAAUUCCGAGUGUAGCGGUGAAAUGCGUAGAUAUUCGGAGGAACACCAGUGGCGAAGGCGGCUUGCUGGGCUCUAACUGACGCUGAGGCUCGAAAGUGUGGGGAGCAAACAGGAUUAGAAACCCCAGUAGUCC